GGGGUUCCUGUGGAGGACGGACUUUCACAGGCUCUCAACCCUGUCUGAGGCUGCCCUCCUUGUCAUCUCAGCCUGACCUAGGCGCCCUGAGACCACACUUCCAUGAAUCCCAAUCCCUGGAUUUUAAGCCCUUUCCCUGGUAGCCCCCAUCUCCUCCAGCCCCAAGCUGCAUGCCCACCCUGGGAGCACAGGGGCCAGUUUGGGGUUCCAAGCCCUCCCAGCAUCCCCUCUCCUAUUUUCUUCCCAAGCUUCUCUACUCAGAGUUGAGUGGCAGGAGAUGUAUCAGCUUGGAGGGCUGGAGGUGUGGAUCCAUGGGGCAGCCCCAAAGCAUCUGCCCCUCUGCCCCAGCCAGCUCAUGCCUCAGCACCCGGGAGCAGUGAACAGAGCCCUGGCUGAGCCCAAACAUGUGGGGCCUGGUGAGGCUCCUGCUGGCCUGGCUGGGUGGCUGGAGCUGCAUGGGGCGCCUGGCAGCCCCAGCCCGGGCUUGGGCAGGGUCCCGGGGGGGCCCAGGACCAGCACUGCUUCGGACCCGACGGAGCUGGGUGUGGAACCAGUUCUUUGUCAUUGAGGAAUAUGCCGGACCAGAGCCUGUCCUUAUUGGCAAGCUGCACUCAGAUGUGGACAGGGGUGAGGGCCGCACCAAGUACCUGCUGACCGGAGAGGGGGCAGGCACUGUAUUUGUGAUUGACGAGGCCACAGGCAAUAUCCAUGUCACCAAAAGCCUGGACCGGGAGGAGAAGGCACAGUACGUUCUACUGGCCCAAGCUGUGGACCGAGCCUCCAACCGACCCCUGGAGCCCCCAUCGGAGUUCAUUAUCAAGGUGCAAGACAUCAACGACAAUCCACCCAUCUUUCCCCUUGGGCCCUACCACGCCACAGUGCCCGAGAUGUCCAAUGUCGGGACAUCAGUGAUCCAGGUGACUGCUCACGAUGCCGAUGACCCCAGCUACGGGAACAGCGCCAAGCUGGUGUACACUGUGCUGGAUGGACUGCCUUUCUUCUCUGUGGACCCCCAGACUGGAGUGGUGCGGACCGCCAUCCCCAACAUGGACCGCGAGACACAGGAGGAGUUCUUGGUGGUGAUUCAGGCCAAGGACAUGGGCGGCCACAUGGGGGGGCUGUCGGGCAGCACUACGGUGACGGUCACCCUCAGCGAUGUCAACGACAACCCCCCCAAGUUCCCUCAGAGCCUGUACCAGUUCUCCGUGAUGGAGACCGCUGGGCCGGGCACCCUGGUGGGCCGGCUGCGGGCCCAGGACCCAGACCUGGGGGACAACGCCCUCAUGGCAUACAGCAUCCUGGAUGGGGAGGGGUCCGAGGCCUUCAGCAUCAGCACAGACUCCCGGGGUCGAGAUGGGCUCCUCACUGUCCGCAAGCCCCUAGACUUCGAGACCCGUCGCUCCUACUCCUUCCGUGUGGAGGCAACCAACACGCUCAUCGACCCAGCCUACCUGCGGCGAGGGCCCUUCAAGGACGUGGCCUCAGUGCGCGUGGCUGUGCAGGACGCCCCAGAACCACCCGCUUUCACCCAGGCUGCCUACCGCCUGACAGUCCCCGAGAACAAGUCUCCCGGGACCCUGGUGGGCCAGGUGUCAGCCGCUGACCUGGACUCCCGGGCCAGCCCAAUCAGAUACUCCAUCCUCCCCCACUCGGACCCGGAGCACUGCUUCUCCAUCGAGCCUGAAGACGGUACCAUCCGCACGGCAGUGCCCCUGGACCGCGAGGCUCGUGUCUGGCACAACCUCACGGUGCUGGCCACAGAAGUCGACAGCUCCGCACAGGCCUCCCGGGUGCAAGUGGCCGUCCAGACCCUGGAUGAGAAUGACAAUGCUCCCCAACUGGCUGAGCCCUACGACACCUUUGUGUGUGAAUCUGCAGCCCCCGGCCAGCUGAUUCAGGUCAUCAGGGCCCUGGACAGAGAUGAAGUCGGCAACAAUAGCCGUAUCUCCCUUCAAGGUCCUCUGGACCCCGAUGCCAACUUCACUGUACGGGACAACCGAGAUGGCUCUGCCAGCCUGCUGCUGCCCUCUCGCCCCGCUCCGCCCCGCCAGGCCCCCUACCUGGUCCCCAUCGAACUGUGGGAUUGGGGGCAGCCGGCACUGAGCAGUACUGCCACAGUGACUGUCAGCGUGUGCCGCUGCCGGCCUGAUGGCUCCGUGGCAUCCUGCCGGCCCGAGGCCCAGCUCUCACCUGCUGGGCUCAGCACCGGGGCCCUGCUCGCCAUCAUCACCUGUGUGGGCACCCUGCUUGGCCGUUCUGAUUGGAACCAGGCUGCCCCGUGCCUGGCCCUGCCGGCUCAGCGGCCCGUGUGCGCCUCUCCCCCAGCCCUGGUGGUGCUCUUCGUGGCCCUGCGACACCAGAAGCAGGAAGCCCUGAUGGUGCUGGAGGAGGAGGACGUGCGUGAGAACAUCAUCACCUACGACGACGAGGGCGGCGGCGAGGAGGACACGGAGGCCUUCGACAUCAGCGCCCUGCAAAACCCCGACGGGGCCGCCCCGCCGGCUCCCGGCCCUCCCGCGCGCCGAGAUGUGCUGCCCUGGGCCAGGGCGCCGCGCCAGCCCCGGCCCCCCGGCCCCGCCGACGUGGCGCAGCUGCUGGCGCUGCGGCUGCACGGGGCGGACGACGACCCCAGCGUCCCACCCUACGACUCGGUGCAGGUGUACGGCUACGAGGGCCGGGGCUCCUCCUGCGGCUCCCUCAGCUCCCUGGGCUCCGGCAGCGAGAUCGGCGGCGCCCCGGGCCCCGCUGAGCCGCUGGACGACUGGGGGCCGCUCUUCCGCACCCUGGCCGAGCUCUACGGGGCCAAGGAGACCCCUGUCCCCUGAGAGCUGGCCUGGCCCUGCCCGCCGCGGCGGGGCGGCGCACAGGCCCUCUGAGUGAGCCCCCGGGGUCCAGGCAGGCGGCAGCAGCCCAGGGGUCCCCAGGCCUCCCCAAUCCCCGUGUCCCUCCUCCCCACUUCCCCAGGGCAACCUCCUCCUUACCUCCCUCAUCCUGAGUCGUCUGUUCGUCUCUCUCCAGGGAUCUCUGUCUCUGUCUCUGACACUCUCCCUGUCUGGGUCUGCAUUGUGCGGCUCAGACUCUGAAUCUCUCCGUUCUCUCACUGUGAUUCCACUUUCUUGUGGCUCUGUUUUGGUCUCCCCCAUUCUAAAUCUGUCGCUCACGGCUCUCUCUGUCUCCCGUGCCCGCACACAUGCUCUCUGUCUGUCUCCUGCCCACAUCUGCCCGCAUUCUCUGUGGGUCCCUGUGACUGGCUUUUUGGUUUCUUCCGUUGUCCAUCCCAGAAACAAAGAGAAAUUUCCAACCACUGCUGCCCACCCUCCUGCAGGGGAUGUUCUGCCCCAGACCUGCCCACAUGGUUCCAUCCAUCACUCAUGGCCUCAUCCUGGCUCCACUGGCCUCCAGCAGAGAGAGGGAGCCAGCCCACCUCCCAGGGCAAGCGCUCCAGCCCCCAACGUGGCCACCUCCCUGGAGCUCUGCCCAGCUGUCAGCCAGCCCUGGGCAUCCUAGCUCUGAGCAUUGUCUUGUGUGCUUCCCAGGCCCCAGGGGGAGGGAUGGGAAGGAAAGAGGGAGGCA